CAGUGGUGGCAAAGGAGACAGAGAGGUGGGGCCCAGGUCGUGCAGGGCUUGAUGGCUCCUGUGAGGGCUUUUCCUCAGGGCAGCGGAACCAUGACUGGGUACGGAGCAGGGGCCCGGGUCCUGAAUGCUAUGCAGGAAAUGGAGCAGGUGUCUGCUGAGGAGAUGUGCGUGGAGGAGGCUGUCCCUGUAGACUGUGUAGGCAGGGAAGGCUCCUCUGAGGAGGUGACAUCUGAGCUGAGCCCUUGUAUAGACCGUGUUUCCACCUUCUGUAGACUGGAUGCUUUCAUCUGCCCUGCAGGCCUAUGCAGGACACACUCUGUUCUCAGUCACCUGGACUUGGCCUCCUGCCUCCCUUGUGGGCCCUCCCACCCCAGAAGGAGUCCUUCUAGAUCUAAUUCACUACCCCCUCCACUGGACUUGGACUCACACUGAGCCACUGUCCACCUGCCCAACUCAACCAGAGUCAAGUCCAGACACUUGGGGGAGCCUCUCCACCCCAGAGCCCAUGAACUUACUCAAAUGGCCAGUCCUCAGCCUGCUCACAUGCCUCACCCUCCCCUCCUGCUGAAAUCUUGUGACAGAUCCUGUCCACAGUACCCUGCUCCUCCGAUCCUGACCCCAGGCUUUCCCAUGGGGUGUGACCCCGCAUGGGGUGCAGUCCCCUCCUCCAGUCUGGCUCAGGGACCCCACCAGAACUGAUGGCUUUUAGUCUCCUAUGGGAGCAGGAACAGGCUCAAGGUCUCCCUACAAGGCUAGUGUAAUUGGACACAUUCCUGGAUCCAUUGCAAGUGAAGGCAUGAUGGUCUUCCUACACAGCUGGUGGAAUGUGAUUCGGCUCUGAGUCUCCUGCAGGAGUAGGCUUAGGGUCUCCUUGAAAGAUUGGUGAAAUGGGACACAGUGCUGUGUCUCCUGCAGUAGCAGGCUCAGGUUCUCCCUACAGUAUUGGUAAAAUUGGACCUGGCUCUAAUUCUCCUGCAGUUGCAGACUGAGGGUAUAACUGCAUGGCUGGUUGAGUGUGAAGGAACAGCAAGUCUUAAUACAUUGGCCCACUCCUGGGAAAAGGAUAAACAGGGCUUGGUGCAUGGUCUCUUGCAUUGUCUGAAAAAGCCCCUUGAGAUGUGUUGAUUCUGAUGACCUCUUCCAAGAACUUGAACACUUUUAGAAUCUCUGUCAACUCAUCUUGUUUAGACUGAAGGAAUCUGCCUUUCAUCAGUUCUUGGAAUAGAGAUCAACACAAAAGGAAAGAGGGAAGAAAAAAUUACCAAUCUAUCUGUUGAGAAAUCAGCUGAAGACAUUAAAAAGUUCUCUUGCAAUGCACUUAUUUCUAUUUUGGUGCAUUUAGAAUCAU